ACCAAGGACCCCAGCCGGAACCGCUACAAGCUGUUUCUGGAGUGCACCCUGAUCCUCACCUCGGUCGUGCCUCCUGAGCUGCCCAUCGAGCUGUCCCUGGCCGUCAACACCUCCCUCAUUGCCCUGGCCAAGCUCUGUGAGUGUGUCAAAUGGGGUAGGGUGCCAAGUGGGCUGGGGCCAAGCAGGACCCCUGACCUCACUCCCGCCCCUAGACAUGUACUGCACAGAGCCCUUCCGGAUCCCCUUUGCUGGCAAGGUCGAGGUGUGCUGCUUUGACAAGACGGGGACCUUGACCAGUGACAGCCUGGUGGUGCGCGGUGUGGCCGGGCUGAGAGACGGGAAGGAGGUGACCCCAGUGUCCAGCAUCCCUGUAGAAACACACCGGGCCCUGGCCUCGUGCCACUCGCUCAUGCAGCUGGACGACGGCACCCUCGUGGGUGAUCCUCUAGAGAAGGCCAUGCUGACGGCCGUGGACUGGACGCUGACCAAAGUGCCCUGAAGCGAAUGUCCGUGCUUGCCUCGUAUGAGAAGCUGGGCUCCACCGACCUCUGCUACAUCGCGGCCGUGAAGGGGGCCCCCGAAACCCUGCACUCCAUGGUGAGCUGGCCCCAGCCUGGGGCAAGGGGUAGGGGUGCGGGGCAGCCCGUGACAUCCCCCUGCAUUCCCUGCAGUUCUCCCAGUGCCCGCCCGACUACCACCACAUCCACACCGAGAUCUCCCGGGAAGGAGCCCGCGUCCUUGCGCUGGGGUACAAGGAGCUGGGACACCUCACUCACCAGCAGGCCCGGGAGGUCAAGCGGGAGGCCCUGGAGUGCAGCCUCAAGUUCGUCGGCUUCAUUGUGGUCUCCUGCCCGCUCAAGGCCGACUCCAAGGCCGUGAUCCGGGAGAUCCAGAAUGCGUCCCACCGGGUGGUCAUGAUCACGGGAGACAACCCGCUCACUGCAUGCCACGUGGCCCAGGAGCUGCACUUCAUUGAAAAGGCCCACACGCUGAUCCUGCAGCCUCCCUCUGAGAAAGGCCGGCAGUGCAAGUGGCGCUCCAUUGACGGCAGCAUCGUGCUGCCCCUGGCCCGGGGUUCCCCAAAGGCACUGGCCCUGGAGUACGCACUGUGCCUCACAGGCGACGGCUUGGCCCACCUGCAGGCCACCGACCCCCAGCAGCUGCUCCGUCUCAUCCCCCACGUGCAGGUGUUUGCCCGUGUGGCCCCCAAGCAGAAGGUAUGUGCACAGCCCUAGGGGUCAGGGGUACAGACGUAGGCACGCAGCCCCUGCUCAGCCUGUCUCCGCCCACACAGGAGUUUGUCAUCACCAGCCUGAAGGAGCUGGGCUACGUGACCCUCAUGUGUGGGGAUGGCACCAACGACGUGGGCGCCCUGAAGCACGCUGAUGUGGGUGUGGCGCUCUUGGCCAACGCCCCUGAGCGGGUUGUUGAUCGGCGACGGCGGCCCCGGGACAGCCCAACCCUGAGCAACAGUGGCAUCAGAGCCACCUCCAGGACAGCCAAGCAGCGGUCGGGGCUCCCUCCCUCUGAGGAGCAGCCAACCUCCCAGAGGGUGAGUCCCAAGAGGGGAGGUGCUGCACCCCAUCCUGGCCAGGGCUAACAGCCUGCUGCCUACCCUGCAGGACCGCCUGAGCCAGGUGCUGCGAGACCUCGAGGACGAGAGCACGCCCAUUGUGAAACUGGGGGAUGCCAGCAUCGCAGCACCCUUCACCUCCAAGCUCUCGUCCAUCCAGUGCAUCUGCCACGUGAUCAAGCAGGGCCGCUGCACGCUGGUGACCACGCUACAGAUGUUCAAGAUCCUGGCGCUCAAUGCCCUCAUCCUGGCCUACAGCCAGAGCGUCCUCUACCUGGAGGGGGUCAAGUUCAGUGACUUCCAGGCCACCCUACAGGGGCUGCUGCUGGCCGGCUGCUUCCUCUUCAUCUCCCGUUCCAAGCCCCUCAAGACCCUCUCCCGAGAACGGCCCCUGCCCAACAUCUUCAACCUGUACACCAUCCUCACUGUCAUGCUCCAGUUCUUUGUGCACUUCCUGAGCCUUGUCUACCUGUACCGUGAGGCCCAGGCCCGGAGCCCCGAGAAGCAGGAGCAGUUCGUGGACUUGUACAAGGAGUUUGAGCCAAGCCUGGUCAACAGCACCGUCUACAUCAUGGCCAUGGCCAUGCAGAUGGCCACCUUCGCCAUCAACUACAAAGGCCCGCCCUUCAUGGAGAGCCUGCCCGAGAACAAGCCCCUGGUGUGGAGUCUGGCAGUUUCACUCCUGGCCAUCAUUGGCCUGCUCCUCGGCUCCUCGCCCGACUUCAACAGCCAGUUUGGCCUCGUGGACAUCCCUGUGGAGUUCAAGCUGGUCAUCGCCCAGGUCCUGCUCCUGGACUUCUGCCUGGCGCUCCUGGCCGACCGCGUCCUGCAGUUCUUCCUGGGGACCCCGAAGCUGAAAGUGCCUUCCUGAGAUGGCAGUGCUGGUACCCACUGCCCACCCUGGCUGCCGCUGGGCGGGAACCCCACCAGGGCCCCGGGAGGGAACCCUGCCCCCAACCCCCCACAGCAAGGCUGUACAGUCUCGCCCUUGGAAGACUGAGCUGGGACCCCCACAGCCAUCCGCUGGCUUGGCCAGCAGAACCAGCCCCAAGCCAGCACCUUUGGUAAAUAAAGCAGCAUCUGAGAUUUU
rnacentral:sRNA from 1 species